AAUUUCCAGGUUAAAUAUAGAAAAUAAAAUUUUGUCGAUACGAUGUUAUAAAAGGAUGCGAUCAACGGUAGUAUGUAUUAAAAUACAAAGUCUGUUACAACUGUUGUUGUUUUUACAAAUAUGAACAUGUCGCAUAUUACUGGACCUAAUAAACACAGGGUGCUUAAACAGACUAGCAGACCUGGUGACGCAAAGAACAGAGGGUGCUAUAACAGACUAGUAGACCUGAUGUUCGAUAUGAACAAAGCAGAAAAAAGUCUCAAGGAGGGACUUUAACACCAUGAAAAUAUUCGUCUGGUGGAAGAACGACGUUUAAAUCAUAGACUAAAUACCUCCACGUUUCACAAGUGUCAUAUUGACUUUGUCAAGGACUUGCUUGUUUAUUUUCUACUUUUGUAUUCAUAUUUUUAUAUUCCUAUUUUUCGCUUAAUUAAUCACUCGAACUAUGGCUAUUUUGUAACGUUAAGUGUAUCGCUUUCAAGCUGUUUUUUUGUAAGAACAGUUAAUUGCACUUUGUUACUCUAAAUAGUACUUAAAGUUUUUAAUUUAAAAUGUUACAUGAAUAUAUAAUCAUUUUGAACGGCUCUUUCAGAGAAUAAAAAAAUGUUCCAUCAA